GAAAGACAGGGACAGCACAAAACACAACAGAAGACGUAACACCACAGUCCUCUCUCUGCCAAUAGAUGAUACCACAGUCCUCUCUGUGUCAAUAGUUGUUACUGCAAACAUACAAGCUGAAACAAUAUUGAACAAAGAGAGAGGCAACAGGGAAUCUAUAUAGAUGUGGUGAGACAAUAGGGAACAGGUGUGCGUAAUAGAACAAGACAGUACAGGGAAGUGUUAAAAUGCAGCAGGGAAACUAGACGAUGACUGCUAGAAAGCUGUCGAAGCAGAACGAUAUGACUGUGAUGUGAACUGGGAUACGUGGUCAUAAGCGGAUCUGUGACACAUACUUUGCAUUUAACACACCUGUACUUUCACUUUUGUUUCGGUUCAACUCCCGUGUGAUUGGCUGUCUUCUACAUAAAGGAGAAACGGCACUCACAUAAGCUACAUUUUAUCUUUCGAACCGAACAUUUAUGUUUACUACCAAUUUGGAACCUAUUUUAUCCUUUGUUCACAGGUACCCACACUAAAUUAACAUUUAAACCAUGGAAUUUCUGGAGUCAACAAAGACGGACCUGUGCCAGUGGUUAUCAACAGAUGCUCAGUAUAUCAUUGACAAGUGUCAAGAUAUUUUAUCUGUUAAACAAGGAAAGGCUGUGUGCAACCAAGACACUGAUGAAAAGAAGAUCAGCAUGCUGUUGAAAUUUAUCAUGGAAAGGGGAGAGGAAACAUGUGAGGAGUUCCUUGAGAUUCUGAAGAAUGAGCAGAAGCAUUACCCGAGCCUUCAACAGCAUUUCAGCAACAGCAUGCACGGUCCAACAGUAUAUGCGGAUUGCAACAGCAUCGUUGACACCCGACAAGUCACCAACGUCCAUGUUAAAAAAGACUUAAACAUGGAUGCAACUGUUCAAGCAGGAGAGAUGAAUCCAUCUGGAUUCAACCACAGCCAACCACCCCCACGUGCAAAUAUGUUUGCAACCAAUAACAGUAAUAUAAUUUCACCAGGAAUAUCAAACUGUAAAGUUUAUGGAGACUUCAAUAUGUCUUUAGGACAGGCCCCACCCUCAAAUGGCCCAACAUUCCAGGUAUGCCACUGCCUCUACCCGUGGGGGAGUCUGGGGAGGAGCUUCUGCCUCCAACCGCGGAAGGUUUCGGAGGAGUUUCUGCCUCUGCCCGCGGAGGGGUUCAGCGAUGUCACCGGUGCCGUGCCGGCUGUUUCGUUACGUUCUUAUGUUAUAUUCAUUUUAGUUCUAAUUUGUCUGUUUCUAUGUUCUGUUUGGUUUCCCCUGUGCCUCGCCUAACCCUGCGGAGGGGUACGGCGAGGAGCUUCUGCCUCUGCCCGCGGAGGGGUUCUGCGAGGAGUGUCUGUCUCGGCCCUCUGAGGUGUUUGGCGAGGAGCUUCUGCCUCCGCCCAUGGAGGUGUCCGGGGAGGAGCUUCUCAUCAGGAAUAUCAAACUGUAAAGUUGAUGGCGACGUCAAUAUGUCUUUGAGGCAGGCCCCACUUGUCCAGGUAAGCUUCUGCCUCUGUCUUGGCCCGCGAAGGUGUCCGGCGAGGAGCCCACGGAGGGGUUCAGCGAGGAUCUUCUGCCUCCACCUGCGGAGGUGUCCCGCGAGGAGUCCACGGAGGGGUUCAGCGAGGAUCUUCUGCCUCCACCUGCAGAGGUGUCCGGCGAGGAGUGCAUGGAGGUGUUCAGCGAGGAGCUUCUGCCUCCGCCUGCAGAGGUGUCCGGCGAGGAGCCCACGGAGGGGUUCAGCGAGGAUCUUCUGCCUCCGCCUGCGGAGGUGUCCGGCGAGGAGCCCAUGGAGGUGUUCAGCGAGGAGCUUCUGCCUCCGCCAGCAGAGGUGUCCGGCGAGGAGCCCACGGAGGGGUUCAGCGAGGAUCUUCUGCCUCCGCCUGCGGAGGUGUCCAGCGAGGAGCCCACAGAGGGGUUCAGCGAGGAUCUUCUGCCUCCAUCUGUGGAGGGGUUCGGCCAGGAGCUUCUGCCUCCGCCUGCAGAGGUGUCCGAGGAGGAUCUAGAUUUAGCGACUUUUCAGACCCCCUUAGCAACUUUUUGUGGUGUUAUUGGAGACUUGUUCUUACUCUUCUCAGCGAGCAGCGGGUGCCGCCGUGGGCCCCUCCCCUAUCUGAAAGCACUCACAGGUGGCCCAGUCCUCGCACAGCUGUUCCUCUGAGCUGCAGUCAGAGCAGGAGAUGUUAACUCCUCCGCGUCCAGACUGAAAAUGAAUCGCGCAUGCGGGAAGCCCCCGCUGGCUUUUCCUGGCCGUAAUGUAAAAUUUAAAUGUUCUUUGUCUAAAAUAAAUCAUUGCUGAUGGGAAAUUAUGCAAAUUAGGCAAUGACGUCAUUUUGCGACUUCUAGCGACUUUUAGGACAGCCAAUAGCGACUUGCCUUACUGAGGAUUUGGCAACAAUGUGCGGAGGGGUUCGGCGAGGAGCUUCUGCCUCCGCUUGCGGAGGGUUCCCGUGGAAUGCACAAUGGAAUGCAAGAUAGCCUUAUCAUAAAAGCUGAAGGCACAGACGUGUCAAUCAUGCUUUUGAAUUUUAAAUAAACAUUAUUGUAACAGAAUGUCAUUUUUUCUUCUAAGGUAGUAUUUCUUCAUGUAAUAUUUAAUAAAAGAUGAAUAACUGAAUUACUGCUUAUUUAAAAAACCCAACCACUUAUUAGAAUAAACUUAUUCUGUAGGGCCUUGUGAUGGAAGCUAUUGUUGGGAGUAAAUUGGAACUUAUUGACUUGGGUUAAAGCAAGCAAGCAUGUUUUAUUUAUAUAGCACAAACCAGGACCUUCAGCAUGCACUGGGACGGUUUGCAGCCGAGUGUGAAGCGGUGGGGAUGAGAAUCAGUACCUCCAAAUCCGAGGCCAUGGUCCUGUCGGAAAAGGGUGGCUUGCCCACUUCAGGUUGGUGGAGAGUGCCUGCCUCAAGUGGAGGAGUUUAAGUAUCUAGGGGUCUUGUUCACGAGUGAGGGAAGGAUGGAACGGGAGAUUGACAGACGGAUCGGUGCAGCUUCUGCAGUAAUGCGGUCGAUGUAUCGGUUUGGUCGUGGUGAAGAAAGAGCUGAGCCGCAAGGCGAAGCUCUUGAUUUACCGGUCAAUCUACGUUCCUACUCUCACCUAUGGUCAUGAGCUUUGGGUCAUGACCGAAAGGACAAGAUCCCGGAUACAGGUGGCCGAAAUGAGCUUUCUCCGCAGGGUGGCUGGGUGAUCCCUUAGAGAUAGGGUGAGAAGCUUGGUCUCCCGGGAGGAGCUCAAAGUAGAGUCGCUGCUCCGCCACAUCGAGAGGGGUCAGCUGAGGUGGCUUGGGCACCUGUUUCUAAUGCCUCUGGAACGCCUUCCUGGGAAGGUGUUCCGGUCCCGUCCCACUGGGA
ensembl:lncRNA